UACAGAGGGUGCGAGCGUUAAUCGGAAUUACUGGGCGUAAAGCGCGCGUAGGCGGCUUUGCAAGUCGGGUGUGAAAUCCCCAGGCUUAACCUGGGAACUGCAUUCGAGACUGCAUUGCUAGAGUAUGGGAGAGGGAAGUGGAAUUUCCGGUGUAGCGGUGAAAUGCGUAGAUAUCGGAAGGAACAUCAGUGGCGAAAGCGGCCUGCUGGGACAGUGCUGACGCUGAAGCGCGACAGCGUGGGGAGCAAACAGG
rnacentral:rRNA from 1 species